CUCCUCGCGCCGCCGCCACCUCCUUCCCGCCCCGGCCCCCUCCCGAUCCAGUCCUCUCCCCACCACCGACCUCGCGGUCCUCCUCACCCACCGCCGCCGACCUCAUCCCUCCCUCCGCUCACCAUCUCUCCCUACCCACGCAGUAGGGUUCCAUCCCUCUCCUCCUUCCUCCCCGCUUCCCCUCCCGGCCCCGACCUUCCUGCCACGCCGCCUCACCGCCACCCGUCGCCUCAUCCUCUCCACUCCCCCGCACGCCGGUAGCCCGCGCCUCUGAGACCCGGCGCCGGCGCCGGUGGAGGAGGUCGCGGCCGCAGCCGUGGAGGAGUACGAGGCGCAUCCACUGCCAUCGGGACGAGAUAGAGCAAGUCGACUGGGUCGUCUCCGCCAUGAACGACAAGGCGACCCGAAACAGCGCACAUGUCAGCUCUCCGUCUGAGCAAGGGAGCCGUCCAGUCGCCGCCGCCGGGGUGCCGCUGCUGGUCAGUAUGCGUGCCACCGGAACAGGUCGGGGAGCUUCCGGUUGGUGUGUGUGCCUCCUUCCUUCAGCACAAGCAGCAGGCCCAGGGCAUUAGCACCAUCCCAACGAAAUUGAUGGACCAAGUAACCAGCUGCCAAGUUCUUCAAGGUUCGUGAAGAGAGCUGAUCUGGUUUUGUGAAGGAAGGGCGAGAAAGAUUAUGUGGGGAUCAGAUUGUCCAUGGCGACUUAGGAGGAGCAGCACCAUCUCAGGUUGCUCCGAUCUGGUUGUGUGAAGGAACAUGCAAGGUCUGCUACUCCUGUUGUGCUCCCUUGAACGAUCUGGUGAAGGACAAUUUUCCAUUGGUCGUCCCCCCAUGCUAUCUCUCUCUGCUGCAUAGUAUAUGCGAGUCCGGCAGUGCGGUGGCAGUCCCCGUGGAACGAGCGCUGGACUACUCCCUUGGCCAGGUGUACCUGUGCAAGCACGAAUGGAGCGAAGACUUACUGUUGGUGUUGCCAGCCAAGUUCUCCAGCCCGUGGUGAACCGAGGCUAUCUCAAGUGCUUCGUUGGUUGGGUUGCGUUCUUUGCUGCUGGUCUCAUGAAUGGGGAAGUUAUUUUUCUUGAAGUAAGGGCAAGGAGGAGGCAACACGUUGGAAGCUGGAGGACCCAGGGAUGGAUAAUAUGUGUUGGUCUCGCCAUCUACCUGUCCCUUUUGUUGAUAAAUCCAUUGCGCAAUGGGUGACCGUGGAAGGGAUGGAAGUUCAUAUUGUUGUUUGUAAUGAAGGUCAUAGCCUAAUCCUGACUAUGGUCAUCUAGUGAGUAUGGCAUAUGGUUCAUAUGACAGGAGCAUGUGCCCAGUUUGUGAUCGCUAUUGACAGGAGCUCCAUUCUGAAGAAGAUUGAAGACAAUUGUGGAGUUGUAAAUUACUGUAGCCAGCUAUCACACUUGUAGAGCUUGUAAUAUUGUGAUUCCAAUUGUAUUACGUGUUAUUGGUAGAGCAAGAGCUCCAUACUGAUUCUGGCUGUUAUUAUUUGAAGUAUUACAUGUGUUUUCUGUCUGUUUGAAUUUAAAUAUUUGUUAUUUAUUCACUGGCAUAUUGAAAUCUGAAGAACGUGACCUUCACAUGAGGGACCCGCAAAACAGAACCUGACAUUUCGGACCCACUUACCAGAAUCUGAAAAAACAAGAAAACAAAGGCCGUGGCCCAAAAAUAAAAAGGCUAAAAUGUUGGGCUAUGCCCAUGUAGCUGACGAAAACUGAUAUAUAAAAUAUAAAUAGGCUGAAUUGAUGGGCUUGGCCCAUGCAGCUCAUGAAAAUUGACAAAAAAACAUAAAUGGGCUGAAUUAAUGGGCUCGGCCCAUA